GAUGAACGCUAGCUACAGGCUUAACACAUGCAAGUCGAGGGACCGGCGCACGGGUGAGUAACACGUAUCCAACCUGCCCUUUACUCGGGGAUAGCCUUUCGAAAGAAAGAUUAAUACCCGAUAUAAAGGAUGGGGUUGCGUUCCAUUAGGUUGUUGGUGAGGUAACGGCUAACCAAGCCUUCGAUGGGUAGGGGUUCUGAGAGGAAGGUCCCGCCCAUUGGAACUGAGUCACGGUCCAAACUCGUACGGAGGCAGCAGUGAGUAAGAUUUGUCAAGGUGCGCUAGCCUGAACCAGCCAAGUAGCGUGAAGAAUGAAGGCUUAUUAGUCGUAAACUUCUUUUAUAUAAGAAUAUGUAUUAUAUGAAUAAGGAUCGGCUAACUCCGUGCCAGCAGCCGCGGUAAUUC
rnacentral:rRNA from 1 species